UUGGAUUUUAUUCAGUUUUAAAUCUUAUUUAGAUUAUUUUAGUCAGACAUGCUUAUAUGUGCAUAGGCCUAUUUUAUUCCUCUUCAGUUACUUACUUUUUAAAUUUUGGUAGGCUACUUUUUAAUUCUUCUUUUACUCUGUCUUUGAUUUUAACUUUUAGCAAUUUGCAUGAUAAAUUGUUUAACAUGUAAGCUAUAUGAAUGACACUGUCACAAUGUGAUAAGCAAAACAUAUAAAAGUCAAGUCAAAGCUAUAUAUAGGCUAGUGCUUUUCAUUGGCAUUUAAAAUAACAUGGUCUUUCCUUCUCUCUCUCUCUCACAGCAAACACUGCAGGACAAUCAGGCAUCCAAGUAACAUGCAAAAUCUCUGCAUCUGAUGAUGGCCAUGUGUUUUCGCCGAUCAUAACUGGUUUAACUCUUGGCUCCUUUGAGAUCAAUAUGACUUCUGCCAAAUCAAAUGUGCCGGCAAAUUGCAAAAUCUCUGCAUCUGAUGAUGGCCAUGUGUUUUCGCCGAUCAUAACUGGUUCAAGCUCCUUUGAGAUCAACAUGACUUCUGCCAAAUC